CAGCAGCCACGGUAAUACGUAGGUGGCAAGCGUUGUCCGGAAUUAUUGGGCGUAAAUGGCUCGCAGGCGGUUUCCUAAGUCUGAUGUGAAAGCCCCCGGCUCAACCGGGGAGGGUCAUUGGAAACUGGGAAACUUGAGUGCAGAAGAGGAGAGUGGAAUUCCACGUGUAGCGGUGAAAUGCGUAGAGAUGUGGAGGAACACCAGUGGCGAAGGCGACUCUCUGGUCUGUAACUGACGCUGAGGAGCGAAAGCGUGGGGAGCGAACAGGAUUAGAUACCCGAGUAGUCCCUGUCUCUUAUAC
rnacentral:rRNA from 1 species